rnacentral:snoRNA from 1 species
AACCACAAGGCAAAGGCUCAGCAUUCUCUCCUAAGCGUGAAGCUCGCUCCUGGUGUUGAUUGGCUGCAACUGCCAUUUGCCAUUGCUGAUUAAAUUCUUCUCUUCCUGUGGUAGAGGAAGAGGGAGAGAAUGCAGUUUGAGUGGU